GAUGAACGCUAGCUACAGGCUUAACACAUGCAAGUCGAGGGGCAGCGCAGUGUAGCAAUACAUGGGCGGCGACCGGCGCACGGGUGCGUAACGCGUAUCCAACCUUCCCGUUACUCAGGGAUAGCCUUCCGAAAGGGAGAUUAAUACCUGAUGGUGUUGAAAUUCCGCAUGUUAUUUCAACUAAAGAUUUAUCGGUAACGGAUGGGGAUGCGUGACAUUAGAUAGUAGGCGGGGUAACGGCCCACCUAGUCUACGAUGUCUAGGGGUUCUGAGAGGAAGGUCCCCCCANACUGGAACUGAGACACGGCCCAGACUCCUACGGGAGGCAGCAGUGAGGAAUAUUGGUCAAUGGUCUGACGACUGAACCAGCCAUGCCGCGUGAAGGUCACGGCCCUAUGGGGUCUUAAACUUCUUUUUGUAAGGGAGCAAUAAGGUGCACGUGUGCAUCGAUGAGAGUACCUUACGAAUAAGCAUCGGCUAACUCCGUGCCAGCAGCCG
rnacentral:rRNA from 1 species